GUACUCACCUGGUAGGGGAGAUACCAUGAUCACAAAGGUUGUUUUCCCAGGGGACACUCACCCAUUGCAUUCUGGGUGUGCUGUCUGCUGGGUUUUCCCUGAAUGCGGGAAGCUCAAUUGCAAGAUUUGUGCUGGUGAGGGACAGCAAUCACGCUUUCCCCUA